ACAUAGAGAGAGAUAGAGAGUCAGAGGAAGACAAAGUGCAUCAAAUGUCUUUCCACAAGUACCUUCCAAACACCCACCCUUCCUCCUUCCUUUCUCCCUCCCUCCUUUCCUUCUUCUUCCUUCCCCCGCUACUUCCUCCCUGCCAACAUCCCUCCUUAACUCUCUCCCUUCUUCCCCCUCUGUUUCUCUUUCUUUGAAACAGGGUUCCUCACCAGUCUGGGACUUGACAAGUAGGCUAGUCUGACUGGCCAGUGAGCCCAGGGAUCUGCUGGUCUCUACCCCCAGAGCUAGGAUUAUGAGGUGCGACCUCUUAGCCUCUUGCUCCUGCUGCUGUACCUGCUGCUGGCCAAGAUGGACUCCUCCCUCUGGACCUUAUGCCAAAACAAACUGCUUUUUCCUUAAGCUGGCUAUGGUGCUUUGUAACAGCAACAACAGAAGUGUAUCUAAGGAGCGUGGGGUUACUGUGGAACCCUGGCUCCUUCAGGACUCACCCAUCCACAGGGUCAUGCCACCGCUGCUGAUUCAUGUUUGCUCUCCUGGCUCUACCAAACUGGACUGCUGGUGUAUCCAUAAAGUGUUUGCGAGUGGAUCAAGCUGCCGCAGCUGACCUGUGAACUGAACCGCUGAUUUCCAGACAACAAAGACGGGAGUUGUUCCAAAGAACCUUUCUAAACAGCCACCGCGCACCUGUGAACCCAAGUCCCCAAACCCUGCCGCUGCCGACACUGUUGACAAGGAAAGACAGCAGAGAAAAGGGAUGAAAUCUGUAUUCUGCGGCUGGGACACUGAGGGACGCCACGGAGACAAGACAAACAGGAUUGUUCCUUAUCUGGAGUCCUGGACCGGGCUUUCCUAAAAAGAAAUGGCUCCCCACAAAAGCCACAGGAUUCUUUUAUUUCCCGCUUUUCGUGCCAGAUGUUUCCCGGGACACUUGAAGAAGAUGGAGGAAGUAGAAUGAACCCAGGCUUAGCCCAGCAACUCAGCUCCCCUCUGACCUUGAACAGGUCCCUCCCGGCACACUGGAGGUUUCUCAACCACAGGGCAUGGGUUUCCUUUCUUUGUGUACCUCUUGGUUGUGCUGAGAAGCAAAGAAAACUAGCAAAGUCAGAAGCACUUUGGAAAUGUCGAGCGUAUCACGUGACCUCAAGGCUCUUGAAGCAUCACAUGACCUGAAGGGUUCUGGAUCUCUUCAUCCAAAAUGGCAGCGGGAAACUUCAGCCUGAUUUCUUUCCUUCUUCCUUCCCGUUGUUCCUUCCUCACUGGAAAAGCACCGAGAGAAUCCCGCCCCUGUACCAGACGCUGUUAUUUUCUCAGGGACUGAGGAUUCCCACAGGUUCCCGGAACUCAGAGGGAGGAGGGAGCAGAUCUAAAUAAACUAUAAUUAUGAUGAGUGGG